ACCUCUGGGGUGAGAAAAAGUUUUUGGGGAGUUUUUUUUUAAAACUGGGGGAAGUUUUCCCUUUUUCGGUUUAAAAGGUGAAAAAAGGAUACCCUUUCCCCCCCUACCAGGGUUGGGGGGGCGGGCAAGAUAAAACCAAGAAAUGGGGGGCCCCACACGGGGGCCUUGUUUAUUUGCCCACCGAGAGACUUUCCACUUUUGCCUUGUAGUCCGAGUUUGAGAUAAACUUCCAUUUGGCGGAUUUAUCAAGGCCCCAAGCCUUCUCCACUGGUUUGGAGAAUGUGGGUUAAUCCCCACAGACGCCACCCUUUCUUUAUUCCACACAUUCGGGUGGGCCCUUAGGGAGCUCCCGUGAUAAACGGGAGAGAGCGGGGAGACGUCCAGUCCUCAUGCCCUUACGGCUGGCUACACACGUGCUACAAUGCGUCUACAUGGCUCGCAAUAGCCAACAUAAAGCUAAUCUCAAAAAGACGUCUCAGUUCGGAUUGUACUCUGCAACUCGAGCACAUGAAGUUGAAUCGCUAGUAAUCGCGGAUCAGAACGCCGCGGUGAAUACGUUCCCGGGCCUUGUACACACCGCCCGUCACACCAUGGGAGUUGGUUUUACCUGAAGGCGAUGUGCUAACUUCGGAGGCAGUCGACCACGGUAAGGUCAGCGACUGGGGUGAAGUCGUAACAAGGUAA
rnacentral:rRNA from 1 species